CCGAGAUGUAGCUCAUCUUCCGCGCCAGGCUCGCGUCCAGCGCCCCGAUCCUUGACAGCCACAGGAAGUGGUCGAAGAAGAAGUACACCAUCUCGCCGGCGUUGGCGAACACCGCGAGGAAGCGGAGGAGAGGCGUGGACCCGGGGCUGCGGCGGAGGGUGUUGAAGCCGGUGAGGAAGCGGCCGGAGCGGAAGGCCUUGCGGCUGAGCCCGGAGGCCACCUCCCAGCUCUUGGCCCUGCCGGCGAGGCCCGGGUGGGCGGACUCGGCGUGCCAGUGCGCCAGCUUCGAGACGUACUGGAAGGUCUUGACGAGCUUGUCGAUCCCGUCUCGCUUCGCGAGGAAGACGACCAGCUUGUCGACGGUGUCGCUCAUGGCGUCGACGGCAGGGAAGGAC
rnacentral:lncRNA from 1 species